rnacentral:rRNA from 2 species
UAGAUUGAUUCAUUUGAGGUGACUGAGUGGCGGACGGGUGAGUAACGCGUGGGUAACCUGCCUCAUAGAGGGGGACAACAGUUGGAAACGACUGCUAAUACCGCAUAGUAAGAAGAAUUCGCAUGUUUUCUUCUUGAAAGAUUUAUCGCUAUGAGAUGGACCCGCGUCUGAUUAGCUAGUUGGUAAGGUAACGGCUUACCAAGGCGACGAUCAGUAGCCGGCUUGAGAGAGUGAACGGCCACAUUGGGACUGAGACACGGCCCAAACUCC